rnacentral:rRNA from 1 species
CAGACUAGGUGAAAAGCCUGUUUGGUUGUGUCUGUCUGUUGAAUCGGAAUUCUUACGAGUCUAGUUGUUUGAGAGUACAACUUAAAGCUGGUGGUAAAUUUCAUCAAAGGCUAAAUAUAUGAGGGGACUAAUAGCGAACAAGUACCAUGAGGGAAAGUUGAAAAGAACUCUGACGAGAGAGUUCAACAGUGCGUGAAACCAUAUUGAGUAAAACAGAUAACUGUGUCGUUAUGCGGUGUGUCUAUCAACAGUAUAUCGGGUGUUGCGAUUCGGCGAGUGUGAGCUGUUUAUUCAGACGAUCGCUCGUUGUUAGCAUAGCUCGGGGUUCUGUGUACUAGUGCACAUCCAAUCAUUGAGAAACUAUGCUACUGCGGCAUCGGUGCACAUCAGUCCCCGCCUAGCGGGAAGUUGUGUACUGGGCUCAGCUGGCGGCGUAGUUUAGCUGUGUGACAGCUGUGGGAUGCGUUUGUUGAAUGUGCCUGCUUUGUCUGCGAAUCGGUUUAUUCCUUUUUGCGGUGAGUAUGGUACAGUAGGCGAGCGUCUCGCCAUCAAUGGUUGACAUUAGUUAUUUGACCCGUCUUGAAACACGGACCAAGGAGUUCAAAUGGCACGCGAGUCAUUGGGUUUAAACACCCGAAGGCGAAGUGAAAUGCAAACCUAUCGUUACUCGUAGAAUCUACGAUUCAGCGAUAAGCUACUCGUGCUUUCUGGCAUUUGUAGACUAAAAGCGUGAUGUUUGAGACCCGAAA